rnacentral:misc_RNA from 1 species
CCAACGUCGUCGUGUUACCCCGGUCUCGUUGUCCAUUAUCAGAACCCAGGAACGCUCCAAUCUCAGCUGCAUCUUCUGACUCCAGAUACCGUUGCUCUUCUCGAGCUGGAGCAGCCGCCUCAUCCCGUCCGCGGGAUAGACUAUACCGGUCUCGAUGGUCACCGUGAACGUUGCCAAAUGUUCCAUCAGAUAGGUCGGUUCCGAGCCGGUUCCAACGGCUCCCGAGGUCGAUGUGCCGUGACCUCCGCUGUUGUAGUAAGGCAUUUCGCGAACUGCCUUUGCGUUCUUUUUCCCAAGGGGUUUUU